rnacentral:rRNA from 1 species
CACGCUGUAAACGAUGAGUGCUAAAUGUGAGGAUUUUAUCUUUGUAUUGUAGCUAACGCGUUAAGCACUCCGCCUGGGGACUACGGUCGCAAGACUAAAACUCAAAGGAAUUGACGGGGACCCGCACAAGCGGUGGAGCAUGUGGUUUAAUUCGAUGCUACGCGAAAAACCUUACCACUUUUUGACAUGAAGGUCGUAUCCCUCCUAACAGGGGGAGUCAGUUCGGCUGGACCUUACACAGGUGCUGCAUGGUUGUCGUCAGCUCGUGUCGUGAGAUGUUGGGUUAAGUCCCGCAACGAGCGCAACCCUCAUUCUUAGUUACCAACAGGUAAUGCUGGGCACUCUAAGGAAACUGCCAGUGAUAAACUGGAGGAAGGUGGGGAUGAUGUC